rnacentral:rRNA from 1 species
UUGACCUCGGAUCAGGUAGGAGUUACCCGCUGAACUUAAGCAUAUCAAUAAGCGGAGGAAAAGAAACCAACCGGGAUUGCCUCAGUAACGGCGAGUGAAGCGGCAAGAGCUCAAAUUUGAAAUCUGGCCCCCUCGGGGUCCGAGUUGUAAUUUGCAGAGGAUGCUUCGGGUGCGGUCCCCAUCUAAGUGCCCUGGAACGGGCCGUCAUAGAGGGUGAGAAUCCCGUCUGGGAUGGGCGGCCGCGCCCGUGUGAAGCUCCUUCGACGAGUCGAGUUGUUUGGGAAUGCAGCUCUAAGCGGGUGGUAAAUUUCAUCUAAAGCUAAAUACUGGCCGGAGACCGAUAGCGCACAAGUAGAGUGAUCGAAAGAUGAAAAGCACUUUGAAAAGAGAGUUAAACAGCACGUGAAAUUGUUGAAAGGGAAGCGUUGUCCACCAGACUCGCCCGGGGGGGUUCAGCCGGCACGUGUGCCGGUGUACUCCUCUCCGGGCGGGCCAGCAUCGGUUUGGGCGGCUGGUGAAAGGCCCCGGGAAUGUACCACCCUCCGGGGUGUCUUAUAGCCCGGGGUGCCAUACAGCCAGCCUGGACCG